GAUGAACGCUGGCGGCGUGCUUAACACAUGCAAGUCGAACGGAAAGGCUCCUGCUUGCAGGGGUACUCGAGUGGCGAACGGGUGAGUAACACGUGGGUGAUCUGCCCUGCACUUCGGGAUAAGCCUGGGAAACUGGGUCUAAUACCGGAUAGGACGAUGGUUUGGAUGCCAUUGUGGAAAGUUUUUUCGGUGUGGGAUGAGCUCGCGGCCUAUCAGCUUGUUGGUGGGGUAAUGGCCUACCAAGGCGUCGACGGGUAGCCGGCCUGAGAGGGUGUACGGCCACAUUGGGACUGAGAUACGGCCCAGACUCCUACGGGAGGCAGCAGUGGGGAAUAUUGCACAAUGGGCGCAGGCCUGAUGCAGCGACGCCGCGUGGGGGAUGACGGCCUUCGGGUUGUAAACUCCUUUCGCUAGGGACGAAGCGCAAGUGACGGUACCUGGAGAAGAAGCACCGGCUAACUACGUG
rnacentral:rRNA from 1 species